GCAGUCGUGGCCGAGUGGUUUAUGGCGAUGGACUAGAAAUUCAUUGGGGUCUCCCCGCACAGGUUCGAAUCCUGUCGACUGCG
rnacentral:tRNA from 1 species